GCCACGCGGCCGGCCGCUCUGCUGUCACUCAGGCGCAGCCUCGGAAAAUGUCCAGUCAGGAGCGCCGCUGGUCAGGUAGGUGGGGCGCCGCCACCCAUGUGGACGGCCUGACUUGCUCCGGCGGACAAAGGGGUCAGUGGUCCUAGCGCCUGACGCUCCCAGCUUCCUCACCUCAGUCCGUGUUCCGCUGUGACCCGCCCUGGUCGUGGGAGUCAAGGAAGGACGCCGGGAGACCGAGGAGGCCUAGCAAUGGAGGAAAGCAGAGAAUAAAUACCUGGAUUUAUUUUGCCUGAAAUCCUUGUUCCUCUCCCCCAAGAUCUAGCCUGGACCGAGGCAUCCUAUGGGAAGUCCCGUGGAUGGAGGUGUCUGUGUGGAGACUUUUCCUGGGUGAUUUUUUUCACCACGUGGCCCUUUGUUAGUACAUUACUGUUCAACUGUUUAAACAUCCUGGUGGGAAUAAAUCACAUUUAGCUUUGAUGCUUUUUCUAAUAAAAGGAAUAGAUAACGGAA